UAGAGAACCAGUAACUAACUUACCUUUUCUUAUUUAAAGGCACCUGAAUUACUUGGUAUCAAGGCGCUGCAACAUUUAUAUUUAUUGAAAUAUAAUUUACAUAAAAUAGAAUACACACAUCUUGGGUGUUGCAGUGAGUUUUGACAACUGUAUAAACCCAUGUAACAUUUGUCUGUGUCACAAAGAAUGGACUGGAAGGAAGCAAGACCGGAGGACAUUCAAAUGAUGAUGUCUGCAAGACACAUGUCUGGAGCUCAAGAGAGAAAAUACUUGAAUGGAGAUAUAAAUUUGCUCAUCAUCAGCAAAUAUAUGGUUAUUGAAAGAUAGCAGUGGAUAAAAUUGCCUGCAAAGAGCAGGGCUUCCCUGGUGGCGCAGUGGUUAAGAAUCUGCCUGCCAAUGCAAG